UCAAGCGGUGAGAAUGGGUUGCUUGCUCAACGAUGUAGCGUUACGCGGGUGAGUAACACGUGGGUAACCUGCCUGUAAGACUGGGAAAACUCCGGGAAACCGGGGCUUUUACCGGAUGGUUGUUUGAACCGCAUGGACCAGACAUAAAAGGUGGCUUCUAUCGCCACUUACAGAUGGACCCGCGGCUUAUAUUAGCUAGUUGGUGAGGUAACGGCUCACCAAGGCAACGAUGCCUUAGCCGACCUGAGAGGGUGAUCGGACUGAAACACGGUCCAGACUCCUACGGGAGGCAGCAGUAGGGAUUCUUCCGCAAUGGACGAAAGUCUGACGGAGCUACGCCGCGUGAGUGAUUGAAGGGUUUUGGUUAUGAAACUCUUUUGUUGGGAGACAAGUUCCGUUCUAAUAGGGCGGCACUUUGACGUUACUACCCAAAAAGCCCGGCGAACUCGUGCCAGCAGCCGCGGUAAUACGUAGGGGGCAAGCUUUGACCGGAAUUAUUGGGCUGAAAGGGCUGCGCAGGCGGUUAGUUAAGUCUGAUGUGAAAACCCCCGGCUCAACCGGGGAGGGUCAUUGAAAACUGGCGAGCUUGAGUGCAGAAGAGGGGGAGUGGAAUUUCAUGUGUAGCGGUGAAAUGCGUAGAGAUGGGAGGAACACCAGUGGCGAAGGCGACUCUCUGGUCUGUAACUGACGCUGAGGAGCGAAAGCGUGGGGAGCGAACAGGAUUAGAUACCCUGGUAGUCCACGCCGUAAACGAUGUCUGCUAAGUGUUAGGAGGUUUCAGCUCCUAAUUGCUGCGGCUAAGGCAUAAAGCACUCCCCCUGGGAAUAACGGUGCCAGGAUUGAAACUCAAAGGAAUUACGGGGGGCCCGCCCAAGCGGUGAACCAGGUGGUUUAAUUGGAAGCAACGGGAGGACCUUUACCAGGUCUUGCCUUCAUCGGACUUUCCUAGAGAUGGGACGUCCCUUUGGGGGCCAGAAUACCAGGUGGGGAAUGGUGGUGUUAAGUUGGGGUCGUAAGAUGUUGGGUUAAGUCCCGCAACAAGCCCACCCUUUUCUUUUAGUUCCCACCAUUCAGUUGGGCACUUUUAAGUGGCUGCCGGUGACCAACCCGAAGAAAGUGGGGAAGGCGUCAAAUCAUCAAGCGCCCUAUGACCUGGGCUUCCCCCGUGGUUCAAUGGGCAGAUCCAAGGGCAGGGCAACCGCGAGGUUGAACCAAUCCCCCAAAUCUGUUUUCAGUUCGGAUUGCAAUUUUCAAAUUGGAUGCGUGAAACUGGGAUUGGUAGUAAUUGCGGAUUAGCAAUGCGGGGUGAAUUCGUUUCCCGGCCUUGUACCCCCCCCCCCUCAAAACCAUAGAAUUUGUAACCCCCGAAAUUGGUUAGUUAACCUUUAAGGAGGACGCUUA
rnacentral:rRNA from 2 species